GCUGACUCAGCCCCUGCAGGACAGGGAGCAUCAGAGGAGGGAACUGCACUUUCAGACUCUGCUUCCUCUGGUGCACAGCAAGGAGUUGUCAUUAGGUGUCCCGUUUGCAUGGAUUCUUACUCAGAGAUUGUGCAAAGCGGACGACUGAUUGUGGCAACCAUGUGUGGCCAUGUCUUCUGCAGCGAGUGCCUCCCUGUUGCCCUGGAGACUCUUGGCAUGUGCCCAAUUUGCA